rnacentral:rRNA from 1 species
AAGCUUGCUUGUUGGGGUUGUAGGACACUCUAUACGGAGUUACAAAGGACGACAUUAGACGAAUCAUCUGGAAAGAUGAAUCAAAGAAGGUAAUAAUCCUGUAGUCGAAAAUGUUGUCUCUCUUGAGUGGAUCCUGAGUACGACGGAGCACGUGAAAUUCCGUCGGAAUCUGGGAGGACCAUCUCCUAAGGCUAAAUACUCUCUAGUGACCGAUAGUGAACCAGUACCGUGAGGGAAAGGUGAAAAGCACCCCGGAAGGGGAGUGAAAUAGAACCUGAAACCGUGUGCUUACAAGUAGUCAGAGCCCGUUAAUGGGUGAUGGCGUGCCUUUUGUAGAAUGAACCGGCGAGUUACGAUUUGAUGCAAGGUUAAGCAGUAAAUGUGGAGCCGUAGCGAAAGCGAGUCUGAAUAGGGCGUUUAGUAUUUGGUCGUAGACCCGAAACCAGGUGAUCUACCCUUGGUCAGGUUGAAGUUCAGGUAACACUGAAUGGAGGACCGAACCGACUUACGUUGAAAAGUGAGCGGAUGAACUGAGGGUAGCGGAGAAAUUCCAAUCGAACCUGGAGAUAGCUGGUUCUCUCCGAAAUAGCUUUAGGGCUAGCCUCAAGUGAUGAUUAUUGGAGGUAGAGCACUGUUUGGACGAGGGGCCCCUCUCGGGUUACCGAAUUCAGACAAACUCCGAAUGCCAAUUAAUUUAACUUGGGAGUCAGAACAUGGGUGAUAAGGUCCGUGUUCGAAAGGGAAACAGCCCAGACCACCAGCUAAGGUCCCAAAAUAUAUGUUAAGUGGAAAAGGAUGUGGCGUUGCCCAGACAACUAGGAUGUUGGCUUAGAAGCAGCCAUCAUUUAAAGAGUGCGUAAUAGCUCACUAGUCGAGUGACACUGCGCCGAAAAUGUACCGGGGCUAAACAUAUUACCGAAGCUGUGGAUUGUCCUUUGGACAAUGGUAGGAGAGCGUUCUAAGGGCGUUGAAGCAUGAUCGUAAGGACAUGUGGAGCGCUUAGAAGUGAGAAUGCCGGUGUGAGUAGCGAAAGACGGGUGAGAAUCCCGUCCA